AAUCCCUACGGGACGCAGCAGUGGGGAAUUUUGGACAAUGGGCGCAAGCCUGAUCCAGCUAUUCCGCGUGUGGGAUGAAGGCCCUCGGGUUGUAAACCACUUUUGUAGAGAACGAAAAGACACCUUCGAAUAAAGGGUGUUGCUGACGGUACUCUAAGAAUAAGCACCGGCUAACUACGUGCCAGCAGCCGCGGUAAUACGUAGGGUGCGAGCGUUAAUCGGAAUUACUGGGUGUAAAGGGAGCGCAGGCGGGAAGCCAAGUCAGCUGUGAAAACUACGGGCUUAACUUGU
rnacentral:rRNA from 1 species